UAAGCGUGCGCAGGCGGUUUUGUAAGUCUGAUGUGAAAUCCCCGGGCUCAACCUGGGAAUUGCAUUGGAGACUGCAAGGCUAGAAUCUGGCAGAGGGGGGUAGAAUUCCACGUGUAGCAGUGAAAUGCGUAGAUAUGUGGAGGAACACCGAUGGCGAAGGCAGCCCCCUGGGUCAAGAUUGACGCUCAUGCACGAAAGCGUGGGGAGCAAACAGGAUUAGAUACCCUAGU
rnacentral:rRNA from 1 species